rnacentral:rRNA from 1 species
UGGGGAAUUUUGCACAAUGGGCGGAAGCCUGAUGCAGCGACGCCGUGUGGGGGAUGAAGGCCUUCGGGUUGUAAACUCCUUUCGUCAGGGACGAAGUUUGUUUGACGGUACCUGGAUAAGAAGCACCGGCUAACUACGUGCCAGCAGCCGCGGUAAUACGUAGGGUGCGAGCGUUGUCCGGAUUUACUGGGCGUAAAGGGCUCGUAGGUGGUGUGUUGCGUCGUCUGUGUAAUCCAGGGGCUUAACUUUUGGUUGACAGGCGAUACGGGCAUUGCUUGAGUGCUGUAGGGGAGACUGGAAUUCCUGGUGUAGCGGUGAAAUGCGCAGAUAUCAGGAGGAACACCGAUGGCGAAGGCAGGUCUCUGGGCAGUUACUGACGCUGAGGAGCGAGAGCAUGGGUAGCGAACAGG